GCUGGGUGUGGUGGCGCACACCUGUAGUCCCAGCUACCAGGGAGGCUGAGGCAGAAGAAUCGCUUGAACCCAGGAGGUGGAGGUUGCAGUGAGCUGAGAUCAUGGCACUGCACUCCAGCCUGGGUGACAGAGUGGAACUCUGUCUCAA
ensembl:misc_RNA Metazoa_SRP Metazoan signal recognition particle RNA